rnacentral:rRNA from 1 species
UACGUAGGGGGCGAGCGUUAUCCGGAUUCAUUGGGCGUAAAGCGCGCGUAGGCGGGUGCCUAAGCGGGACCUCUAACCUCGGGGCUCAACCCCGAGCCGGGUCCCGAACUGGGCGCCUCGAGUGCGGUAGGGGAGAUCGGAAUUCCCGGUGUAGCGGUGGAAUGCGCAGAUAUCGGGAAGAACACCGAUGGCGAAGGCAGAUCUCUGGGCCGCCACUGACGCUGAGGCGCGAAAGCUAGGGGAGCGAACAGG